GAUGAAGAACGCAGCGAAAUGCGAUACGUAAUGUGAAUUGCAGAAUUCAGUGAAUCAUCGAAUCUUUGAACGCAUAUUGCGCUCUUUGGUAUUCCGAAGAGCAUGCUUGUUUGAGUAUCAGUAAACACCUCAACCUCUUCUUGAUUUUUCAAAAGGAGGGUGGACUUGAGCUAUCCCAACAACCUUUACCGGUCGGCGGGCGGCUUGAAAUGCAGGUGCAGCUGGACUUUUAUCUGAGCUAAAAGCAUAUCUAUUUAGUCCUCGUCAAACAGGAUUAUUACUUUUGCUGCAGCUAACAUAAAGGAUAAUUGUCCUCUUUGCUGACUGAUGCAGGAUUUUACGACACUUUAUGUGUUGUUCAACUCGAUCUCAAAUCAAGUAAGCCUACCCGCUGAACUUAAGCAUAUCAAUAAGCGGAGGA
rnacentral:misc_RNA from 1 species